rnacentral:rRNA from 1 species
UUGAACGCUGGCGGCAUGCUUUACCCCUGCAAGUCGAACGGUAACAGGCCUUCGGGUGCUGCCGAGUGGCGAACGGGUGAGUAAUGCAUCGGAACGUACCCAGAGGUGGGGGAUAACGCAGCGAAAGCUGUGCUAAUACCGCAUGUGAUCUGAGGAUGAAAGCGGGGGACCGAGCAGCAAUGUUUGGCCUCGCGCCUUUGGAGCGGCCGAUGUCGGAUUAGCUAGUUGGUGGGGUAAAGGCCUACCAAGGCGACGAUCCGUAGCUGGUCUGAGAGGACGACCAGCCACACUGGGACUGAGACACGGCCCAGACUCCUACGGGAGGCAGCAGUGGGGAAUUUUGGACAAUGGGCGCAAGCCUGAUCCAGCAAUGCCGCGUGCGGGAAGAAGGCCUUCGGGUUGUAAACCGCUUUUGGCAGGAACGAAACGGUGUCCGCUAAUACCGGGCGCUAAUGACGGUACCUGCAGAAUAAGCACCGGCUAACUACGUG